GAGGUCAAAUAGUAGGAAGCAUUUACUGCCCGGGGCAGAGUGGUGCGGUCUCUAGCUUCCUCUUGCGGUUUGGUAGAAAGACAACAGAAGCUGUUGAGUUGCCGUGUGACUUGGAACAGUUUUUGAAAUGAACUGGUAGUUGAAUGACCUCAGGCCUUAAAGAAAGCUGCUGCAGCUCCAGGCAUCACAUCCUCCCACUAAUGACCCAAGCAGAAAGGAAGGGAGCAAUGAGGGCUUGCUUCUGUUGACGCUCCAUCCCCAGGGUUUUUGUUUAUUUUUUGGCUGUGAGGCAUAGCAUAUGGGAUCUUAGUUCCCCGACCAGGGAUUGAACCUGUGCCCCCUGCAGUGGGAGCACAGUCUCAACCACUGGACCACCAGGGAAGUCCCCUUCUCUUCUUUUAAAAAAUAAUUUUUUGAGGCAUAAUUUACAUACCACAAAAAUCACUCAUUUUAAGUGCACAAUUCUCGGUUAUAAAAAUGAUUCUAGAGAGACACGUGGGGAACCCUGGAGAGUAAAAGAGGUGGAGAGUCUAGGUAGAUGGACUGAAGAUAGAGAUCAUGGAAUUCCCUGGCAGUCUAGUGGUUAGGACUCUGUGAUCUCACUGCCGAGGGCCUGGGUUCCAUCCCUGAUCAGGGAACUAAAUCCCGAAAGCCACACGGCACAGCCGAAAAAAAAACAAGAAGAGAAAAGAGAGAUCAAAGGAGAAGAUGGAGAGAAGAAAUGGUGCAGAUCUGAGAAGACAGAAUAGGGUAUCCAGGAGGGACUGAUAGGUGAUUCUCUCACCUGCACAUCGAGCUCCUGGCUUCGAGGGUCUUGCAGGAAGAACCGGAAGGCCUCCUCCCACACCGGGCAGUUGGUGUUAUAGAUAGCCUGGAGAUGUGCAGGAUGUGAUCAAGUGAAGGAAGGAGAGCUGUCAUCAGAAUCCUUCCCCUGGUGCUUCCCUGGUGGCACAGUGGUUAAGAAUCCGCCUGCCAAUGCAGGGGACACGGUUUCGAGCCCUUGUACGAGAAGAUCCCACAUGCUGCAGAGCAGCUAAGCCCGUGCACCACAACUACUGAGCUUCCGCUCUAGAGCCUGCGAGCCACAACUACUGAGCCUGUGCACCUAGAGCCUGUGCUCUGUAACAAGAGAAGCCACCACAGUGAGAAGCCCGUGCAGUGCAAUGAAGCGUAGCCCCCGCUCGCCGCAACUAGACCAAGCUCGCGCACAGCAACAAAGACCCAAUGCAGCCAAAAAUAAAGAAAUAAAUAAAUAAAGAUUGUAAGAGAAUAUUACGAACAACUUUAUACAAAUAGUUAGAAAACAUCGAUUAAAUAGAUAAUUUAAAAAUACAACUCACGGGACUUCCCUAGUGGUGCAGUGGUUAAGAAUCCACUUGCCAAUGCAGGGGACACGGGUUCAAGCCCUGGUCCGGGAAGAUCCCACAUGCUGCGGAGCAACUAAGCCCGUGUGCCACAACUACUGAGCCUGCACUCUAGAGCCCACGUGCCACAACUACUGAAGCCCGUGCGCCUAAAGCCCAUGCUCCACAACAAGAGAAACCACUGGAAUGAGAAGCCCGUGCACUGCAAGAAGAGUAGCCCCCACUCGCCUCAACUAGAGAAAGCCCGUGCACAGGAACGAAGACCCAAUGUAGCCAAAAAUAAAUAAAUUUAUUAAAAAAAAAUACAACUCACUAAAACCGAUUCAAGUAUUUUAAUGAGAUUUAAAAAAAAAAAAAAAAAGGGCUUCCCUGGUGGUGCAGUGGUUGAGAGUCCGCCUGCCGAUGCAGGGGACACGGGUUCAUGCCCCGGUCCGGGAAGAUCCCACAUGCCGCGGAGCGGCUGGGGCCGUGAGCCAUGGCCGCUGAGCUUGCGCAUCCGGAGCCUGUGCUCCGCAACGGGAGAGGCCGCAGCAGUGAGAGGCCCACGUACAGCAAAAAAAAAAAAAAAAGAAUCCGCCUGCCAGUGCAGGGGACACAGGUCUGAGCCCUGGUCCGGGAAGAUCCCACAUGCCGCGGAGCAACUAAGCCCGUGCGCCACAGCUACUGAGCGUGUGCUCUAGAGCCUGCGAGCCACAACUACUGAAAUCCAACGUGCCACAACUACUGAGCCUGCAUGACACAACUACCAAAGCCCACACGCCUAGAGCCCGUGCUCCGCAACAAGAGAAGCCACGACAAUGAGAAGCUUGCACACUGCAACGAAGAGUAGCCCCUGCUCGCUGUAACUAGAGAAAGGCCGCACACAGCAAUGAGGACCCAAC